rnacentral:rRNA from 1 species
AGUGUUGUCCUGGCUCAGGACGAACGCUGGCGGCGUGCCUAACACAUGCAAGUCGAACGAAGCUUGAAUUCAGAUUUCUUCGGAAUGAAGAAUGAUAUGACUGAGUGGCGGACGGGUGAGUAACGCGUGAGCAACCUGCCCUUCGGAGGGGGAUAGUGUCUGGAAACGGACAGUAAUACCGCAUAACGUAUUUUUACCGCAUGAUAGAAAUACCAAAACUGAGGUGCCGAAGGAUGGGCUCGCGUUGGAUUAGAUAGUUGGUGGGGUAACGGCCUACCAAGUCAACGAUCCAUAGCCGGACUGAGAGGUUGAACGGCCACAUUGGGACUGAGACACGGCCCAGACUCCUACGGGAGGCAGCAGUGGGGAAUAUUGCACAAUGGGGGAAACCCUGAUGCAGCAACGCCGCGUGAAGGAAGACGGUUUUCGGAUUGUAAACUUCUGUUCUUAGUGAAGAAGAAUGACGGUAGCUAAGGAGCAAGCCACGGCUAACUACGUG